AACAGAAUUAAUUAUAUUUUCUGUCCUUAUUUCUUUUCUCUUUGUUUUUUUACUUCUUGGAGCUAGGUCGAGAAAUCCAAAGAAAUUGGCGAGAGAGAAUUCGAGGGCCAUAGGGGAAAUUGCGGCAGACAUUAAACGCUGGGAGAGAGAUGAAGGCUUGAUUUUAAGGUGGGUAAAGGGAAGAUGGAAUCAGACGAUGGUGAGAAUGAUUUUAGGGUUUCAGGGAUGCGAAUUGGGGAUUUAGAUGAAACCUGAAAAAGGGGCUAGAGAAGGAAGGAUAUAGACACUUAAUCAAGCAUUUUGAGAAACCUAAGGGUGAAACAGAGGACUGAGAAAGUCACAGUGUUCGGUAGGAGUGCGCAGGAAUCAAAAUCCAGGAAAACCUCAAAAAACUUUCUAUUCCUCAAUUGGGUAGGGAUCUUAGCACCAACCACAUUGGAGGGGCCAUUCAUCUAGUUAGUGUUCAAGACAACCCAAUGACAAUGAUUGUGGGUAUUACGUGUAUCAAUAUAUGAAGGAAAUUAUCACAUAUUGUGAAAGAGGAACAAUUCCAACUUAUAAUUUGUCUAGUUACAGAUGUCGACAAUAUCGUGACAGCCAGAUAAUUGAAGUUAGGAAAAAUUAGUGUUUACAUUUAAUCAGUACAUACUUAUAGGUUAUGUUAUGGUGAUGUAUAUGCUUAUAAGUAUUGAUAUGAUAUAUAUAUCUUAUGAUUGUAUAUAUUAUCUUAUAAAGCAAUGUCAUGUCAUGACACAUAUUAGACAACUUAACUAUUAUAUUUUGAAAUAUUA